rfam:Pandoravirus salinus, complete genome.
GGGGACGUAGUUCAACUGGCAGAGCGUCUGACUCCAGAUCAGAAGGUUGCGCGUUCAAAUCGCGCCGUCCUCA